GUAGGUGAACCUGCGGAAGGAUCAUUAAAUGAAGCAACCUAGGAGCCUGAGAUAUGGCCACCGGGCACACCUUCCACCCUUUGUUUAUCACACUUUGUUGCUUUGGCAGGCCUGCCUCCGGGCUGCUGGCUCCGGCCGGCGAGCGCCUGCCAGAGGACCCAAACUCUGUUUGUCUGUAACGUCUGAGUACUAUAUAAUAGUUAAAACUUUCAACAACGGAUCUCUUGGUUCUG
rnacentral:misc_RNA from 1 species